rnacentral:rRNA from 1 species
CAAUAGCGUAUAUUAAAGUUGUUGCAGUUAAAAAGCUCGUAGUUGGAUUUGUGGUGUACUUCGGCGGCCCGUCACUAUGUGAUGGAGCUUGCUGAAGCCGCCAUCCUUGGGUGGAUCCUGUGUGGCAUUAAGUUGUCGUGCAGGGGAUGCCCAUCGUUUACUGUGAAAAAAUUAGAGUGUUCAAAGCAGGCUUAUGCCGUUGAAUAUAUUAGCAUGGAAUAAUAAGAUAGGACCUUGGUACUAUUUUGUUGGUUUGCGCACCAAGGUAAUGAUUAAUAGGGACAGUUGGGGGUAUUCGUAUUUCAUUGUCAGAGGUGAAAUUCUUGGAUUUUUGAAAGACGAACUACUGCGUAAGCAUUUACCAAGGAUGUUUUCAUUAA